rnacentral:rRNA from 1 species
UGAACGCUGGCGGCAUGCUUUACACAUGCAAGUCGAACGGCAGCGCGGGCUUUCGCCUGGCGGCGAGUGGCGUACGGGUGAGUAAUACAUCGGAACGUGCCCAGUAGUGGGGGAUAGCUCGGCGAAAGCCGGAUUAAUACCGCAUACGACCUGAGGGUGAAAGCGGGGGAUCUUCGGACCUCGCGCUAUUGGAGCGGCCGAUGGCAGAUUAGCUAGUUGGUGGGGUAAAGGCCUACCAAGGCGACGAUCUGUAGCUGGUCUGAGAGGACGGCCAGCCACACUGGGACUGAGACACGGCCCAGACUCCUACGGGAGGCAGCAGUGGGGAAUUUUGGACAAUGGGCGAAAGCCUGAUCCAGCAAUGCCGCGUGUGUGAUGAAGGCCUUCGGUUGUAAAGCAC